rnacentral:rRNA from 1 species
UACGAAGGGGGCUAGCGUUGCUCGGAAUUACUGGGCGUAAAGGGCGCGUAGGCGGAUAUUUAAGUCGGGGGGUGAAAGCCCGGGGCUCAACCUCGGAAUUGCCUUCGAUACUGGAUAUCUUGAGUACGGGAGAGGUGAGUGGAACUCCGAGUGUAGAGGUGAAAUUCGUAGAUAUUCGGAAGAACACCAGUGGCGAAGGCGACUCACUGGCCCGUUACUGACGCUGAGGCGCGAAAGCGUGGGGAGCAAACAGGG